GAUGAACGCUAGCUACAGGCUUAACACAUGCAAGUCGAGGGGAAACGACAUCGAAAGCUUGCUUUUGAUGGGCGUCGACCGGCGCACGGGUGAGUAACGCGUAUCCAACCUGCCCAUCACUUGGGGAUAACCUUGCGAAAGUAGACUAAUACCCAAUGAUAUCUCUAGAAGACAUCUGAAAGAGAUUAAAGAUUUAUCGGUGAUGGAUGGGGAUGCGUCUGAUUAGCUUGUUGGCGGGGUAACGGCCCACCAAGGCAACGAUCAGUAGGGGUUCUGAGAGGAAGGUCCCCCACAUUGGAACUGAGACACGGUCCAAACUCCUACGGGAGGCAGCAGUGAGGAAUAUUGGUCAAUGGGCGAGAGCCUGAACCAGCCAAGUAGCGUGCAGGAAGACGGCCCUAUGGGUUGUAAACUGCUUUUAUAAGGGAAUAAAGUGAGAGUCGGGACUCUUUUUGUAUGUACCUUAUGAAUAAGAACCGGCUAAUUCCGUG
rnacentral:rRNA from 1 species